AUCAACGCUGGCGGCGUGCCUAAUACAUGCCAGUCGAGCGCACAGAUGAGGAGCUUGCUCCUCUGACGUUAGCGGCGGACGGGUGAGUAACACGUGGAUAACCUACCUAUAAGACUGGGAUAACUUCGGGAAACCGGAGCUAAUACCGGAUAAUAUAUUGAACCGCAUGGUUCAAUAGUGAAAGACGGUUUUGCUGUCACUUAUAGAUGGAUCCGCGCCGCAUUAGCUAGUUGGUAAGGUAACGGCUUACCAAGGCAACGAUGCGUAGCCGACCUGAGAGGGUGAUCGGCCACACUGGAACUGAGACACGGUCCAGACUCCUACGGGAGGCAGCAGUAGGGAAUCUUCCGCAAUGGGCGAAAGCCUGACGGAGCAACGCCGCGUGAGUGAUGAAGGUCUUCGGAUCGUAAAACUCUGUUAUUAGGGAAGAACAAAUGUGUAAGUAACUAUGCACGUCUUGACGGUACCUAAUCAGAAAGCCACGGCUAACUACGUG
rnacentral:rRNA from 1 species